rnacentral:tRNA from 1 species
GGGCCUAUGGUAUACCGGUAGAACGCCUCCAUGGCAUGGAGGAGAACGGGGUUCAAUUCCCCGUAGGUCCACCA